AUAAGAGACAUGUGAAUCAUCGAAUCUUUGAACGCACAUUGCGCCCUCUGGUAUUCCGGAGGGCAUGCCUGUUCGAGCGUCAUUUCAACCCUCAAGCAUUGCUUGGUGUUGGGGCACCGCCUGUAAAAGGGCGGGCCCUGAAAUCUAGUGGCGAGCUCGCCAGGACCCCGAGCGUAGUAAUUAUAUUUCGUUCUGGAAGGCCCUGGCGGUGCCCUGCCGUUAAACCCCCAACUUCUGAAAAUUUGACCUCGGAUCAGGUAGGACUACCCGCUGAACUUAAGCAUAUCAAUAAGCGGAGGA
rnacentral:misc_RNA from 1 species